GAUGAACGCUGGCGGCAUGCCUAAUACAUGCAAGUCGAACGAACAGACGAUGAGCUUGUUCCCCUGCGGUUAGCGGCGGACGGGCGGGUAACAAGUAGAUCGCCUUCUUCUUUUUCUGGGAUAAUUACGUAGAAAAGGUGAUACUACUACCUCAUAUAUUCAACGGCUUAGAGCAGUGGUGCUUGAGAGUUUUGCUGUCACAUUUAGCUGGAUUCGGGCCGCAUUAGCUAGUUGGUAAGGUAACGGCAUACCAAGGCAACGAUGCGUAGCCGACCUGAGAGGAUGAUCAGCCACACUGGAACUGAGACACGGUCCAGACUCCUACGGGAGGCAGCAGUAGGGAAUCUUCGGCAAUGGGCGAAGGCCUGACGCAGCAACGCCGCGUGAGUGAUGAAGGUCUUCGGGUCGUAAAACUCUUUUGUUGGGGAAGAAAAAAUGUGGAUGUAACUAUGGACGUUUUGACGGUACCUAAACAGAAAGCAACGGCUAACUACGUG
rnacentral:rRNA from 1 species